GUGAUAAGCCGGAGGAAGGUGGGGAUGACGUCAAGUCCUCAUGGCCCUUACGCGCUGGGCUACACACGUGCUACAAUGGCGACUACAGUGGGCUGCGAACUCGCGAGGGUGAGCUAAUCUCCAAAAGUCGUCUCAGUUCGGAUUGUUCUCUGCAACUCGAGAGCAUGAAGGCGGAAUCGCUAGUAAUCGCGGAUCAGCAUGCCGCGGUG
rnacentral:rRNA from 1 species